rnacentral:rRNA from 1 species
GGACGAACGCUGGCGGCGUGCCUAAUACAUGCAAGUAGAACGCUGAAGAGAGGAGCUUGCUCUUCUUGGAUGAGUUGCGAACGGGUGAGUAACGCGUAGGUAACCUGCCUUGUAGCGGGGGAUAACUAUUGGAAACGAUAGCUAAUACCGCAUAACAAUGGAUGACACAUGUCAUUUAUUUGAAAGGGGCAAUUGCUCCACUACAAGAUGGACCUGCGUUGUAUUAGCUAGUAGGUGAGGUAAUGGCUCACCUAGGCGACGAUACAUAGCCGACCUGAGAGGGUGAUCGGCCACACUGGGACUGAGACACGGCCCAGACUCCUACGGGAGGCAGCAGUAGGGAAUCUUCGGCAAUGGGGGCAACCCUGACCGAGCAACGCCGCGUGAGUGAAGAAGGUUUUCGGAUCGUAAAGCUCUGUUGUAAGUCAAGAACGGGUGUGAGAGUGGAAAGUUCACACUGUGACGGUAGCUUACCAGAAAGGGACGGCUAACUACGUGCCAGCAGCCGCGGUAAUACGUAGGUCCCGAGCGUUGUCCGGAUUUAUUGGGCGUAAAGCGAGCGCAGGCGGUUUGAUAAGUCUGAAGUUAAAGGCUGUGGCUCAACCAUAGUUCGCUUUGGAAACUGUCAAACUUGAGUGCAGAAGGGGAGAGUGGAAUUCCAUGUGUAGCGGUGAAAUGCGUAGAUAUAUGGAGGAACACCGGUGGCGAAAGCGGCUCUCUGGUCUGUAACUGACGCUGAGGCUCGAAAGCGUGGGGAGCGAACAGGAUUAGAUACCCUGGUAGUCCACGCCGUAAACGAUGAGUGCUAGGGGUGGGAUCCUUUCCGGGUUUCAGUGCCGAAGCUAACGCAUUAAGCAUUCCGCCUGGGGAGGUACGACCGCAGGGUUGAAACUCAAAGGAAUUGACGGGGGCCCGCACAAGCGGUGGAGCAUGUGGUUUAAUUCGAAGCAACGCGAAGAACCUUACCAGGUCUUGACAUCCCGAUGCUAUUUCUAGAGAUAGAAAGUUACUUCGGUACAUCGGUGACAGGUGGUGCAUGGUUGUCGUCAGCUCGUGUCGUGAGAUGUUGGGUUAAGUCCCGCAACGAGCGCAACCCCUAUUGUUAGUUGCCAUCACUCAGUUGGGCACUCUAGCGAGACUGCCGGUAAUAAACCGGAGGAAGGUGGGGAUGACGUCAAAUCAUCAUGCCCCUUAUGACCUGGGCUACACACGUGCUACAAUGGUUGGUACAACGAGUUGCGAGUCGGUGACGGCGAGCUAAUCUCUUAAAGCCAAUCUCAGUUCGGAUUGUAGGCUGCAACUCGCCUACAUGAAGUCGGAAUCGCUAGUAAUCGCGGAUCAGCACGCCGCGGUGAAUACGUUCCCGGGCCUUGUACGCACCGCCCGUCACACCACGAGAGUUUGUAACACCCGAAGUCGGUG